rfam:Dipodomys ordii contig_68110, whole genome shotgun sequence.
GGGAAGGUGGCUCAGUGGUAGAGUGCUUGCCUUGCAUGCAUGAGGCCCUGGGUUCGAUUCCUUAGCAUCACA